rnacentral:tRNA from 1 species
GGUUAGGUAACAUAAUGGAAAUGCAUUGGAUUGCAAAUCCUAGAAUGACGGUUCUACCGCAUCCUUGACCU